GUGAUGUUUUGAAUAACAGUAGUUGCUUUGGAAAAUCGUGUUCUAAUACUAGCAAUUAUAAGAACAAUAAAUAAAAUUCCAAAUUUGAAAUCCAAAAAAUUACAACGGCUUUACUACAACCCACAUAAAAUAAUUUAAAGGUAAUAAUCAAAACUGUAACAUAACCAGUGUGUGUGGCUUCCUCCGAGCCCCUAGCAACCCCGAUCCAUCAAAGGCUGGAAAUUACCUGAAAGGUUAAUAAACGGGGUGAGUUUACGAAAACUCAGUGUGAAAUCCCCUACUAUAAAAAGGAACAGUCAGUCAUCUAAAAGAAUUAAAAGUCUGGCCCCAGCCUUACUUACAAUUUCAGUACCAAUCGGGUCUUAGCCCAUUACAACAGACAGUACCAGAUGGACCUUAGCCCAUUACAGAAUAAGAAACAUUAUCAGAAUUGGAACCAAAAUGAGAAUCAGAAUCAGAAUCAGUAACAGAAUCAGAAUCAAUAUUAGUAAUAGAAUCAGAAUCAGAAUCAGAAUUAGGUGACAGAAUCAGAAUCAGAAUCAGUAACAGAAUCAGAAUCAGAAUCAGAAUCAGAAUUAGGUGACAGAAUCAAAAUCAGAAUCAGUAACAGAAUCAAAAUCAGAAUCAGUAUUAGUAACAGAAUCAGAAUCAGAAUCAGAAUUACGUGACAGAAUCAGAACCAGAAUGUGAAUGCAAUCCCAACCCAACCUAUAACCAACCGCUACACUCCACCCGUACCAGCCCUACACUCCAUGUGGGGAAUAGCUCAACCCACCCAGCCCUACACUCCACAGUUGCAGCAUUACUGCUCAGUUAUCAGAUAUUGUGACAGAGUCACCAGAUACAGAUAUUGUGGCAGAGCCACCAAAACAGAUAUUUGUGGCAUAGCCACCAGAAACAGAUAAUGUGGCAAAGCCACUUAACAGAAUACGUGGCACAAAGCCGUCGAUAACUGCAUUAUGUUAGGCACAUAGCCAUCAACUAGAGCAACAUAACGGCACACAGCCCUAGGUAAAUGUGAUCGACACAGAGUCGUCAAUAACCAUAUAUUGGCACAUAGCCUUAGGCAAAUACGUUUGGCACACAGCCAUAAUCAGGUUGGCACAGAGCCAUAUGUAGGUUGACACAAAGCCAUAAUCAGAAGGCUUUAAGCCAUCGGUAGCUGUAUCAUGUUAGGCACAUAGCCAUCAGCGACGGUAAUAUAGUCGGCACCCAGCCUCGGGUAAAUAUGAUCGGCACCAGCCAUUGAUCGGUCCACAGUCGUCUUGGGCGACCCGUGCAACCUUAUCAAAUCAGUACGAAUAUGCGGCUCUUAAGCCUUCGGUGGAUCCAUAGUUGUCAAGCAACCAUGCGAUCCUAACAGAUCAGAUCUUCCUCCGUACAAAAUCCCAACCCAUGCAACAUGUCAUGUAUGCAGAAUGUCAUGCCUAUAUUUGAAUCAAACAAUCACAGUCAAGUCAUUCAUAUACCAAUAUAUAUUCACAAUCAAAUUCGUCAACCACACAGUCCAAGUUAGUCACUUGGCCACAAGGGCAAAACAGUCAUUUAACACCUUAAGGGCAAAAUGGUAAUUUUACCCCACAAGGUAUCUUGGUAAUUCCACCCUACAGGGGUAUUUUAGUAAUUCUACCUUAUAGGGGUAUUUUAGUAAUUCUACCCUACAGGAGUAUUUCGGUAAUUCUACCCUACAGGGGUAUUGCGAUAAUUCUACCCUACAAGGGUAUUUCGGUAAUUCUACCCUACAAGGGUAUCUCGGUAAUUCUACCCUACAGGGGUAUCUCGGUAAUUCUACCCUACAGGGGUAUUGCGAUAAUUCUACCCUACAGGGGUAAUUCUACCCUACAGGGGUAUUUCGAUAAUUCUACCCUACAGGAUAUUUCGGUAAUUCUACCCUACAAGGGUAUUACGAUAAUUCUACCCUACAGGGGUUUUCGGUAAUUCUACCCUACAGGGGUAUUUCGGUAAUUCUACCCUACAAGGGUAUUUCGGUUAUUCUACCCUUCAGGGGUAAUUCGAUAAUUCUAACCUACAGGGGUAUUCCGGUAAUUCUACCUUAUAAGGGUAUUUCGGUAAUUUUACCCUAUAGGGGUAUUCCGGUAAUUCUACCCUACAGGGGUAUUUCGGUAAUUUUGUAAACCAAUGGCAUUUUGGUAAUUUUACAAACCAAGGGUAUUUUGGUAAUUUUAUUGAUCGAGGGUAUUUCAGUAAUUUUGCAAAUUGAGGGUAUUUCAGUAAUUUUACAAAUCGAGGAUAUUUGGGUAAUUUUAUAAACUGGGGGUACUUUGGUAAUUUUACAACUGGGGGUAUUUCAGUAAUUUCAUAAUAGAGGGUAAAAUGGUAAUUUUGUAAACUGAGGGUAAAAUGGUAAUUUUGUAAAUCGAGGGUAAAAUAGUAAUUUUGUAAAUCAAGGGUAAAAUGGUAAUUCUAUAAAUCGAGGGUAAAAUGGUAAUUUUGUAAAUCGAGGGUGAAACGGUAAUUCUGUAAAUCGAGGGUACUUUGGUAAUUUUACAAAUUGAGAACAUUUUAGUAAUUUGGUAAACUAAAGUAUUCUAAACAGGGAUAACAAUACGAAUGGGCCUAAAGCUUAUUCUCGACCCAAAUGGGCCCACACGCUCGUGUGGCCCUUUUAGCCCAAACCUAGCCACAGAUAUUCGAUUCACCUAACCUAGUCCAAUAUUUACUACACAAUCAAACAACUUAUCCAAUUGGGCCCGUAGGCCCAUUGGGCCCACAUGGCCCCUUUCGGCCCGAAGUAGCCAUCCAACAACAAGAGUAGUGAUAAAUACACACCUGAUUGGAGACUGGAGUUAAUCCACGCUCCGAGCACUCUUAGCCAACGCCCAACCCAAACGAGCACGCCAUAAAGCGAAAGGGAUCA
rnacentral:lncRNA from 1 species